GACGUAGGGCGCGAGCGUUGUCCGGAUUUAUUGGGCGUAAAGAGCUCGUAGGCGGCUUGUCGCGUCGACUGUGAAAACCCGCGGCUUAACUGCGGGACUGCAGUCGAUACGGGCAGGCUAGAGUUCGGUAGGGGAGACUGGAAUUCCUGAUGUAGCGGUGAAAUGCGCAGAUAUCAGGAGGAACACCGGUGGCGAAGGCGGGUCUCUGGGCCGACACUGACGCUGAGGAGCGAAAGCGUGGGGAGCGAACAGG
rnacentral:rRNA from 1 species